GCAUUUCUUGCAGUCCUGAUGCAUGGAGAAAUGCUCAACUCCUGAUGCAUGGAGAAAAGGCAUUCACAAGCUUCUGCUAUUGUGUACAUAGUUUAUACUAAUUGACCCAUAGGUUUUUUAAUUGGGGUAUCCCCCAAAAUAUUGGGACAUAGUAGCAGAGUAGCUGUUGACAUUAUAGUUGCGCAGGCACUUUGUUGACUCUAGAGAACCUCGAGCCAAUCGCACAUCCACGUGACGGCGACUUUGCAUUCGGAUGUCAUCCAUAUCAAUGUUCGAUGCCGGUUUCUGCGCCUACCAUGGUGACCACGGGUAACGGGGAAUCAGGGUUGGAUUACGGAGAGGGAAUCUGAGAAACGGCUACCGCAUGCAAGGAAGGCAGCAGGUGCGCAAAUGACCCACUCCCGACGCGGGAAGGUAGUGACGUCAAAUAACAAUACAGGACUCUUUAGAGACCCUGUAAUUGUAAUGAGUCCACUUGAAUUCCUUUAACUCUGAUCAACUACAGCUGAAACUCCACUAUCGCCUGCUGCUGC